CCUACGGGAUGCAGCAGUGAGGAAUAUUGGUCAAUGGCCGGAAGGCUGAACCAGCCAAGUCGCGUGAGGGAAUAAGGCCCUAUGGGUCGUAAACCUCUUUUUUCAGGGAGCAAAGGCGUCCACGAGUGGACUAAAGGCGAGUACCUGAAGAAAAAGCAUCGGCUAACUCCGUGCCAGCAGCCGCGGUAAUACGCAGGAUGCGAGCGUUAUCCGGAUUUCUUGGUUUUAAAGUGUGCGUAGGCGGAGGGUCAAGUCCACGGUAAAAUUUCGGGUCUCAACCCCGUCGUGCCGUUGAAACUGACACCCUUGAGUGAGUGAGAAGGAAGCGGAAUGCGUGGUGUAGCGGUGAAAUGCAUAGAUAUCACGCAGAACGCCGAUUGCGAAGGCAGCUUAACGGCGCUCAACUGACGCUGAGGCACGAAAGUGCGGGUAUCGAACAGGAUUAGAUACCCUUGUAGUC
rnacentral:rRNA from 1 species